rnacentral:rRNA from 1 species
GACGAACGCUGGCGGCGUGCCUAAUACAUGCAAGUAGAACGCACAGUUUAUACCGUAGCUUGCUACACCAUAAACUGUGAGUUGCGAACGGGUGAGUAACGCGUAGGUAACCUGCCUGGUAGCGGGGGAUAACUAUUGGAAACGAUAGCUAAUACCGCAUAAUAUUAAUUAUUGCAUGAUAAUUGAUUGAAAGAUGCAAUUGCAUCACUACCAGAUGGACCUGCGUUGUAUUAGCUAGUAGGUGAGGUAACGGCUCACCUAGGCGACGAUACAUAGCCGACCUGAGAGGGUGGUCGGCCACACUGGGACUGAGACACGGCCCAGACUCCUACGGGAGGCAGCAGUAGGGAAUCUUCGGCAAGGGACGAAAGUCUGACCGAGCAACGCCGCGUGAGUGAAGAAGGUUUUCGGAUCGUAAAGCUCUGUUGUAAGAGAAGAACGGGUGUGGGAGUGGAAAGUUCACACUGUGACGGUAUCUUACCAGAAAGGGACGGCUAACUACGUG